UACGGAGGGCGAGCAGUGGGGAAUAUUGCACAAUGGGCGCAAGCCUGAUGCAGCCAUGCCGCGUGUAUGAAGAAGGCCUUCGGGUUGUAAAGUACUUUCAGUCGUGAGGAAGGUGUUAAGGUUAAUAACCUUAGCAAUUGACGUUAGCGACAGAAGAAGCACCGGCUAACUCCGUGCCAGCAGCCGCGGUAAUACGGAGGGUGCGAGCGUUAAUCGGAAUUACUGGGCGUAAAGGGCACGCAGGCGGUUAAUUAAGUUGGAUGUGAAAUCCCCGGGCUUAACCUGGGAAUGGCAUUCAAGACUGGUUAGCUAGAGUCUUGUAGAGGGGGUAGAAUUCCAUGUGUAGCGGUGAAAUGCGUAGAGAUGUGGAGGAAUACCGGUGGCGAAGGCGGCCCCUGGACAAAGACUGACGCUCAUGUGCGAAAGCGUGGGGAGCAAACAGGGAUUAGAUACC
rnacentral:rRNA from 1 species